rnacentral:sRNA from 1 species
UCUGUCAAAGGUAAAUGACAGAGAAAAAUGGAGAAAGAAGGUUGACAGAUUUAAUGUG